CCUUACCUGGCCUUGACAUACUAAGAACUUUCCAGAGAUGGAUUGGUGCCUUCGGGAACUUAGAUACAGGUGCUGCAUGGCUGUCGUCAGCUCGUGUCGUGAGAUGUUGGGUUAAGUCCCGCAACGAGCGCAACCCUUUUCCUUAUUUGCCAGCGGGUUAAGCCGGGAACUUUAAGGAUACUGCCAGUGACAAACUGGAGGAAGGCGGGGACGACGUCAAGUCAUCAUGGCCCUUACGGCCAGGGCUACACACGUGCUACAAUGGUCGGUACAAAGGGUUGCUACCUCGCGAGAGGAUGCUAAUCUCAAAAAAGCCGAUCGUAGUCCGGAUCGCAGUCUGCAACUCGACUGCGUGAAGUCGGAAUCGCUAGUAAUCGCGGAUCAGAAUGCCGCGGUGAAUACGUUCCCGGGCCUUGUACACACCGCCCGUCACACCAUGGGAGUUUGUUGCACCAGAAGUAGGUAGUCUAACCGCAAGGAGGACGCUUACCACGGUGUGGCCGAUGACUGGGGUGAAGUCGUAACAAGGUAAGCGUAGAUGA
rnacentral:rRNA from 1 species